AUUGAACGCUGGCGGCAGGCCUAACACAUGCAAGUCGAACGGGUGGCGGACGGGUGAGUAAUGUCUGGGAAACUGCCUGACGGAGGGGGCUAACUACUGGAAACGGUAGCUAAUACCGCAUACCAUCGGAUGUGCCCAGGUGGGAUUAGCGAGUAGGUGGGGUAACGGCUCACCUAGGCGACGAUGCCUAGCUGGGCUGAGAGGAUGACCAGCCACACUGGAACUGAGACACGGUCCAGACUCCUACGGGAGGCAGCAGUGGGGAAUAUUGCGCAAUGGGCGCAAGCCUGAUGCAGCCAUGCCGCGUGUAUGAAGAAGGCCUUCGGGUUGUAAAGUACUUUCGGCGAGGAGGCGUUACUCGCAGAAGAAGCACCGGCUAACUCCGUGCCAGCAGCCGCGGUAAUUC
rnacentral:rRNA from 1 species